rnacentral:ncRNA from 2 species
AACGUGCUCCGGGGUCGGUGUAAGUCCGAACCGGCGGUUAUAGUCCGCGACCCAUGCCAAAGAGGCUUCUCACAAGAAGCCUUCGCCGCUUGGUUGAACUGGUGAAAUUCCGGUACCGACAGUUAAAGUCUGGAUGGGAGAAGCACGUA